rnacentral:lncRNA from 1 species
AUGAAUGCCCCAUGCUGCGUUUCACCUUUUAGGAAAGUCAAAGAACAAGCAAAGCUCAGUCCAUUCUUAAGACAUUCUGUUCUGAAGAGGACAUUUAAUGUCACGUUGCCAAAUACUUCCCUGAUUACAAGAGAAAACACUUUUCCUAUAGAUCAAAAAGCCAAACAAAAAUACUCAGGAAGCAAAGUAAAAUCUUCUAAAUGGCCCUGGCUGGCUAAUUUAUGGAUGAUGAUUAAAAAACACAGCAUCCAAGCAACACCUAGCAAAGGGCAUAUGGGUAUGGAUAUAUGAAAAUCUGAACUUAAAGUGAAAUAAAAACAAGACACUGGACA